UGGAGAAGGUGUGGUCGAUCCCGCUGGCGCAGGUCUCAAAUGAGAGCGUUGAGUGAGGAAAGUCCCGACCACAUAUUGUACGGAGCGGAUGCCAAGAUCCGUGUUCCGGGAGGAACAGACCUAAGCACAAGCUCACUUAAUAGUGGGUGUAGUCAUGGUCGUGGGCAGCAGAAACGACACGUCCCAUCGAUUAUACGAUGAAUCCUUAGAUGAGGUUUCGGUGGGGAGCGUUGAAACGUGGUCCGAACCGUGUGGCAAGCCCUGAAAAAUCGGGUGCAGCGUGGAGCCCUUCAAAGGGUUCCGCCGGAGUUAAAUUCGGUCGUAGAAACAGAAUCGGGCUUACCGCCUUCUCCA
rnacentral:RNase_P_RNA from 1 species